rnacentral:rRNA from 1 species
GACGAACGCUGGCGGCGUGCUUAACACAUGCAAGUCGAACGGAGUGGCGAACGGGUGCGUAACACGUGGGUGACCCGCCCUGCACUUCGGGAUAAGCCUGGGAAACUGGGUCUACUACCGGGUUGUGUGGGAUGGGCAAGCGGCCUCUCAGCUUGGUGGUGGGGUAAUGGCCUACCAUGGCGGCGCCGGGUAGCCGGCCUGCGAGGGUGGACGGCCACAUGGCGACUAGGACACGGGCCAGAGUGCUAUGGGAGGCAGAAGUGGGGAAUAUUGCAGAAUGGGAGGAGGCGUGAGGCAGCGGCGCCGGGUGGGGGAUGGCGGCGUUCGGGGUGUAAACUCCUUUCACCGUCGACGCGGUAGAUGGAGAAGAAGCAACGGCUAACUCCGUGCCAGCAGCCGCGGUAAUAC